GGAUAUAGCUCAGUGGUAAAGUGCUAGCCUAGCAUGUGUGAGGACCUGGGUUCCAUCCCCAGUACUGCA
rnacentral:tRNA from 1 species